UAGGGAAUCUUCCACAAUGGACGAAAGUCUGAUGGAGCAACGCCGCGUGAACGAUGAGGGCCUUCGGGUCGUAAAGUUCUGUUGUAAGGGAAGAACAAGUGCCGCAGGCAAUGGCGGCACCUUGACGGUACCUUGCGAGAAAGCCACGGCUAACUACGUGCCAGCAGCCGCGGUAAUACGUAGGUGGCAAGCGUUGUCCGGAAUUAUUGGGCGUAAAGCGCGCGCAGGCGGCCUCUUAAGUCUGAUGUGAAAGCCCCCGGCUCAACCGGGGAGGGCCAUUGGAAACUGGGAGGCUUGAGUAUAGGAGAGAAGAGUGGAAUUCCACGUGUAGCGGUGAAAUGCGUAGAGAUGUGGAGGAACACCAGUGGCGAAGGCGACUCUUUGGCCUAUAACUGACGCUGAGGCGCGAAAGCGUGGGGAGCAAACAGGAUUAGAUACCCUGGUAGUCCACGCCGUAAACGAUGAGUGCUAGGUGUUGGAGGGUUUCCGCCCUUCAGUGCUGAAGCUAACGCAUUAAGCACUCCGCCUGGGGAGUACGGUCGCAAGGCUG
rnacentral:rRNA from 1 species